CUACCUCCCGGCACCGCGUCGGUGGCAGGUCCCGGUCCCCACUGCCAUCCCAGCACCGCGAUGAACGCAGAUUGCGGUCCCGCUCUCGGCACCGACCUCGAGGCAGAUCCGGAUCCCGGCACCGACUACCACGCCGUUCCCGGUCCCGAUCCCGACACCGGUACGACUCGCGGUACCGAUCCUUGGCACCGAGGAGAUCGUCGGCGUCGGCAUAUAGAGAGGUCUAUCAAACUGGCUCGGCACCUCCGUGGCCUUCAAGGGAACCAUCCAUGUCUUCUCAGGCGGAGAACGCCUAUACGCUGGGCCAAGACAGACACUCGGCCAUGUUUCAGGACCCUCCACCUCAGGAACGAGGGCCUCAACAGUGGGGGUUUUGGACCCCCUGGGUGUACCGCCAAGCCCAGGGUCCGCAACAUAUCACUCCCCGCCCUGUGGCGGAACGCAGGCCACCAGAGGCAACGGUGUCUAGACCCCCUCCCUCCCCGGAAGCAGAAGACAGGUCCAGCCACCAGGACCCAGAGCUCCCUCCAGAGACGGAGGUGCAGCCCCAGACAGAACCCCCCGUGGACGCUCUGUUGCCAGGGGUUUCCUCGUUGUCUUCCCCUGAUGAGGCAUUGGAGGGUACCUCGUCCUCCAGCCCUCCCCCCCUAGAUCUUAGGGCACACCAGGACCUCCGACGCGUGGCACAGAACCUGGACAUUCAAGCAGAGGAGGUCUCUGAAAUUGAGGCCCCUGUGGUGAGCAUCCUCUCCGCCGAUGCGCCCACCAGAGUGGCCCUACCUUUCAUCAAGACUAUUCAGGCCAACGCCGCUACUAUCUGGCAGUCACCGGCCUCCAUCCCUCCGACCACUCGAGGAGUGGAAAGGAAGUACAUGGCCCCCUCGAAAGGCUAUGAAUACUUGCACGUUCACCCGACACCCUGCUCCUUUGUGGUCCAGUCGGUGUACGACAGGGAGCGCCAUGGUCAAGAGGCCCCGGCGCCCAAGUCUAAGGAGGCGAGGUGGAUGGACCUCCUGGGCCGCAAGGUCUAUUCAGCGGGGGCGCUACAGCUCAGGGUCUCGAACCAGCAGGCCCUCCUUAGCCGCUACUCCUUUAACUCUUGGGUGGCGGUGGGCAAAUUUGCAGAGCUGUUACCGCAGGGCGCCCGUCAGGAAUUUACCACCAUUCUUGAUGAGGGCAAAAAGGUAGCGAGGACCUCGCUACAAGCCUCCUUAGAUGCUACGGACUUGUCCGCUCAGACCCUUGCCUCGGAGCUUAUGAUGUGCCGCAUUUCCUGGCUUCAGGUCUCUGGCCUUCCGUUAGAGCUCCAGCAUACUAUCCAGGACCUCCCCUUCGAAGGCCAGGGCCUGUUUUCGGCUAAGACAGACCCCAGACUAAAGGACCUUAAAGACAAUAGGGUCAUAAUACGGUCUUUGGGGAUGCAUACGCCUGCGACACAGCGCAGGCCAUUCUGGCAGCAGAACCAACAACAGCAGCGUCGGCCAUAUCCUCAGUUCCGUCCGUGGCAGGACCUUAAUAGGUGCUGCGGCAGGAACAACCGACGCAGACAGUCGGGUGGCCAAACGGGGCAAAACCAAGGCUCCGCCAAGGCCCCACCCGGACCCAAGCCUUCAUUUUGAAGGUGCGCCCGAGGGCGCAGUACCAGUUUCACCUCCGGAUCCUUCCCCGCAGUUUUCCAACCGUCUUUCAUUUUUCCUCCCGGCGUGGACCCAAAUAACAUCGGACUGUUGGGUCUUGCGCACUGUGCAGGCCGGUUAUCGCCUGCAGUUUUCAUCGCCCCCCCCC
ensembl:lncRNA